rnacentral:rRNA from 1 species
GGAUAACUACUGGAAACGGUAGCUAAUACCGCAUAACGUCGCAAGACCAAAGAGGGGGACCUUCGGGCCUCUUGCCAUCGGAUGUGCCCAGAUGGGAUUAGCUUGUUGGUGGGGUAACGGCUCACCAAGGCGACGAUCCCUAGCUGGUCUGAGAGGAUGACCAGCCACACUGGAACUGAGACACGGUCCAGACUCCUACGGGAGGCAGCAGUGGGGAAUAUCGCACAAUGGGCGCAAGCCUGAUGCAGCCUUGCCGCGUGUAUGAAGAAGGCCUUCGGGUUGUAAAGUACUUUCAGCGGGGAGGAAGGGAGUAAAGUUAAUACCUUUGCUCAUUGACGUUACCCGCAGAAGAAGCACCGGCUAACUCCGUGCCAGCAGCCGCGGUAAUACGGAGGGUGCAAGCGUUAAUCGGAAUUACUGGGCGUAAAGCGCACGCAGGCGGUUUGUUAAGUCAGAUGUGAAAUCCCCGGGCUCAACCUGGGAACUGCAUCUGAUACUGGCAAGCUUGAGUCUCGUAGAGGGGGGUAGAAUUCCAGGUGUAGCGGUGAAAUGCGUAGAGAUCUGGAGGAAUACCGGUGGCGAAGGCGGCCCCCUGGACGAAGACUGACGCUCAGGUGCGAAA